AAUCAACGCUGGCGGCGUGCCUCAGACAUGCAAGUCGAACGAUUAAAGCUCUCUUCGGAGAGUGUAUAGAGUGGCGCACGGGUGAGUAACACGUAAGUAAUCUACCUUCGAGUGGGGAAUAACAGUCGGAAACGACUGCUAAUACCGCAUAAUGCAGCGGCAUCGCAAGAUGACAGUUGUUAAAGGAGCAAUUCGCUUGAAGAGGAGCUUGCGGCAGAUUAGCUAGUUGGUAAGGUAAUGGCUUACCAAGGCUACGAUCUGUAUCCGGUCUAAGAGGACGGUCGGACACACUGACACUGAAUAACGGGUCAGACUCCUACGGGAGGCAGCAGUCGGGAAUUUUGGGCAAUGGGCGAAAGCCUGACCCAGCAACGCCGCGUGAAGGAUGAAGUAUUUCGGUAUGUAAACUUCGAAAGAAUAGGAAGAAUAAAUGACGGUACUAUUUAUAAGGUCCGGCUAACUACGUGCCAG
rnacentral:rRNA from 1 species